rnacentral:lncRNA from 1 species
UUGUGCUUGGGAGGAGGAAGAAGAAGGAUGAAAACUUGAAGAAGAAUCAAAGCACCUUGCAGCCUUUUUCUUUCCCUUGCGUUGAAUGAAGCAAAGGAGGAGGGAGGAGGCCACCAAGCUUUCUUUUCUUCUCACCUUGCUUGCGGCUGAAACCAAGAGGAAAGAGGAGGGGUACGGCCACAAGGAGGAGGGUUUCAAUAAU